ACGGGGGGAGCAAGCGUUGUUCGGAAUUACUGGGCGUAAAGGGCGCGUAGGCGGCCUUCUAAGUCGAACGUGAAAUCCCCGGGCUCAACCCGGGAACUGCGUCCGAUACUGGAAGGCUUGAAUCCGGGAGAGGGAUGCGGAAUUCCUGGUGUAGCGGUGAAAUGCGUAGAUAUCAGGAGGAACACCGGUGGCGAAGGCGGCUACCUGGACAGAAACUGACGCUGAGGCGCGAAAGCUAGGGGAGCAAACAGGA
rnacentral:rRNA from 1 species